GAUGAGUUUUGUGGGAUUUCUCUGCUGG
rnacentral:piRNA from 1 species